GCACUACUGAAGAGUCCUGUAAUGGGACGAAACAACCGUCCAGUGC
rfam:Schistosoma curassoni strain Dakar, Senegal genome assembly, scaffold: SCTD_scaffold0006672